AUUGAACGCUGGCGGCAGGCCUAACACAUGCAAGUCGAACGAGUGGCGGACGGGUGAGUAAUGUCUGGGAAACUGCCUGAUGGAGGGGGAUAACUACUGGAAACGGUAGCUACUACCGCAUACCAUCGGAUGUGCCCAGAUGGGAUUAGCUAGUAGGUGGGGUACGGGCUCACCGAGUCGACGAUCCCUAGCUGGUCUGAGAGGAUGACCAGCCACACUGGAACGGGGCCACGGUCCAGACUCCUACGGGAGGCAGCAGUGGGGAAUAUUGCACUAUGGUGGCAAGCCUGAUGCACCCAUGCCGCGUGUAUGAAGAAGGCCUGCAGGUUGUAAAGUACUUACAGCGGGGAGGCGGUACCCGCAGAAGAAGCACCGGCUAACUCCGUGCCAGCAGCCGCGGUAAUAC
rnacentral:rRNA from 1 species